GUGCUAUACAUGCAGUCGAGCGGACAGAAGGGAGCUUGCUCCCGGAUGUUAGCGGCGGACGGGUGAGUAACACGUGGGUAACCUGCCUGUAAGACUGGGAUAACUCCGGGAAACCGGAGCUAAUACCGGAUAGUUCCUUGAACCGCAUGGUUCAAGGAUGAAAGACGGUUUCGGCUGUCACUUACAGAUGGACCCGCGGCGCAUUAGCUAGUUGGUGGGGUAAUGGCUCACCAAGGCGACGAUGCGUAGCCGACCUGAGAGGGUGAUCGGCCACACUGGGACUGAGACACGGCCCAGACUCCUACGGGAGGCAGCAGUAGGGAAUCUUCCGCAAUGGACGAAAGUCUGACGGAGCAACGCCGCGUGAGUGAUGAAGGUUUUCGGAUCGUAAAGCUCUGUUGUUAGGGAAGAACAAGUGCGAGAGUAACUGCUCGCACCUUGACGGUACCUAACCAGAAAGCCACGGCUAACUACGUGCCAGCAGCCGCGGUAAUACGUAGGUGGCAAGCGUUGUCCGGAAUUAUUGGGCGUAAAGGGCUCGCAGGCGGUUUCUUAAGUCUGAUGUGAAAGCCCCCGGCUCAACCGGGGAGGGUCAUUGGAAACUGGGAAACUUGAGUGCAGAAGAGGAGAGUGGAAUUCCACGUGUAGCGGUGAAAUGCGUAGAGAUGUGGAGGAACACCAGUGGCGAAGGCGACUCUCUGGUCUGUAACUGACGCUGAGGAGCGAAAGCGUGGGGAGCGAACAGGAUUAGAUACCCUGGUAGUCCACGCCGUAAACGAUGAGUGCUAAG
rnacentral:rRNA from 1 species